CAGCCGCCGCGGUAAUACCGGCGGCCCGAGUGGUGGCCGCUAUUAUUGGGCUUAAAGCGUCCGUAGCCGGGUUGGGAAGUCCUCCGGGAAAUCUGGCCGCUUAACGGUCAGAAUGCCGGAGGAUACUCCCAGCCUAGGGAGCGGGAGAGGCCGAGGGUAUUCCCGGAGUAGGGGUGAAAUCCUAUAAUCCCGGGAGGACCACCUGUGGCGAAGGCGCUCGGCUGGAACGCGUCCGACGGUGAGGGACGAAGGCCAGGGGAGCAAACCGGAUUAGAUACCCGGGUAGUCCUGGCGGUAAACGAUGCGGACUUUGUGUCGGACAAGCUAUGAGCUUGUCCGGUGCCGGAGGGAAACCGUUAAGUCCGCCGCCUGGGGAGUACGGCCGCAAGGCUGAAACUUAAAGGAAUUGGCGGG
rnacentral:rRNA from 1 species